AUUGAACGCUGGCGGCAUGCCUUACACAUGCAAGUCAAACGGCAGCAUGGGUGCUUGCACCUGAUGGCGAGUGGCGAACGGGUGAGUAAUGCAUCGGAACGUACCCGGAAGUGGGGGAUAACGUAGCGAAAGUUACGCUAAUACCGCGUAUUCUGUGAGCAGGAAAGUGGGGGAUCGCAAGACCUCGCGCUUCCGGAGCGGCCGAUGUCGGAUUAGCUAGUUGGCGGGGUAAAGGCCCACCAAGGCAACGAUCCGUAGCGGGUCUGAGAGGAUGAUCCGCCACACUGGGACUGAGACACGGCCCAGACUCCUACGGGAGGCAGCAGUGGGGAAUUUUGGACAAUGGGGGCAACCCUGAUCCAGCCAUGCCGCGUGAGUGAAGAAGGCCUUCGGGUUGUAAAGCUCUUUCGGCCGGGAAGAAAUCGCACAGGUUAAUACCUUGUGUGGAUGACGGUACCGGAAUAAGAAGCACCGGCUAACUACGUGCCAGCAGCCGCCGUAACAC
rnacentral:rRNA from 1 species